UACGUAGGGUGCGAGCGUUAAUCGGAAUUACUGGGCGUAAAGCGUGCGCAGGCGGUUGUGCAAGACAGAUGUGAAAUCCCCGGGCUCAACCUGGGAACUGCAUUUGUGACUGCACGGCUGGAGUGCGGCAGAGGGGGAUGGAAUUCCGCGUGUAGCAGUGAAAUGCGUAGAGAUGUGGAGGAACACCGAUGGCGAAGGCAGCCCCCUGGGAUGAUACUGACGCUCAGGCACGAAAGCGUGGGGAGCAAACAGG
rnacentral:rRNA from 1 species